rnacentral:rRNA from 1 species
GACGAACGCUGGCGGCGUGCUUAACACAUGCAAGUCGAACGAGACUUCGGUCUAGUGGCGAACGGGUGAGUAACACGUGGGCAACCUGCCCCGAGCUCUGGGAUAACCCCGGGAAACCGGAGCUAAUACCGGAUAUGACCAUCUGAGACAUCUUGGGUGGUGGAAAGUUUUUCGGCUCGGGAUGGGCCCGCGGCCUAUCAGCUUGUUGGUGGGGUAAUGGCCUACCAAGGCGACGACGGGUAGCCGGCCUGAGAGGGCGACCGGCCACACUGGGACU